rnacentral:rRNA from 1 species
GACGAACCGUGCAAACGUUGUUCGGAAUCACUGGGCUUAAAGGGCGCGUAGGCGGGCAAGCAAGUCGAAGGUGAAAUCCCACGGCUCAACCGUGGAAGUGCCCCCGAUACUGCUUGUCUUGAGGGAGAUAGGGGCGUGCGGAACUUCCGGUGGAGCGGUGAAAUGCGUAGAUAUCGGAAGGAACACCUGUGGCGAAAGCGGCGCACUGGACCAUAACUGACGCUGAUGCGCGAAAGCUAGGGGAGCAAACAGG